UACCUUUUGGUUGAGGGAUACCAACUGGAAACGGUUGCUAAUACCUCGUAUGCUGAGAAGUAAAAGAUGGAAACAUCGCCAGGAGAGGGGCUUGCGUCUGAUUAGUUAGUUGGUAGGGUAAAGGCUUACCAAGACUAUGAUCAGUAGCUGGUUUGAGAGGACGAUCAGCCACACUGGGACUGAGACACGGCCCAGAUCCCUACGGGGAGCAGCAGUGAGGAAUCUUCCGCAAUGGGCGAAAGCCUGACGGAGCACUAUCGCGUGGAGGAAGACGGCUCGUGAGUUGUAAACUCCUUUUGUCAAAGAAGAAAGUUGACGGUAUUUGACGAAUAAGCAUCGGCUAAACUCUGUGCCAGCAGCCGC
rnacentral:rRNA from 1 species